GUGGCUGGCGGCUGGGUGCCUUCUACUGGUGCUGUGCAGAGGCUUUCCCUAAGGCUGCUGUAAGCCUGUAGGGUUUCCCCCUAGGCUACUAAGCUGG
rnacentral:pre_miRNA from 1 species